GUCCCUUCCACCAUGUGAGGACACAGCAAAACGACGGCCGUCGAUGAACCAGGAGUGGACCCUCACCAGACAUGGAUUCUGUGCCUUGAUCUCGGACUUCCAGCCUCCAGAACUGUGAGAAAGAAAGUUUGUUGUUAAACCACUCGGUCAAGAGCAGCCGAAGCUGACUAAGACAGGAAACAGGUGCUUCGCAGUAUUGCUUUCUUUUUAUGAAAUCAUUGAGAUUGAUUAUUAUUCACUAACCAAUUUUGGGGACAUUUAUACUCCCAAAUGGGACCCUUCUCAAGAGGGCCCAGCCUGCCCUUCAAGAAGCUUUGGGCCUAGGAUCUCGCAAGAGGCUCUAACUUUCUGUAAGGCCAUUCAUCAGGCUGCUUGCUGCCAGACCAAGAGUGUUUCCAGCUAUAUAGGCUUCUGCUCCCGGUUAGGAAGCUGGUUUGAGAAGAAGAGAAGUGGUGUGGCUGCCCAUCUCUCUCUCCACCCUGACUGCAUUCUUUCCCUUUGUGGGGAAGGAACAGCCUCCCCUGGCCCACCCAAGCCCAAAGUCUCCAGCUCUCCUGGAGAAUUGUGAAGUGCUCUGAAGGCUGCCAACAAAAUGUCAAGUCAGCCCACUGACAGAGGAAGGAAGAGAAGCCUUUGGAAAAGACUGUGUUGUUUCCCAUUAGCUUACGUUCCUGCUGAAUCUGAGCAGCUGACCUGAGGAAGGAGGUCGGAAAGGCUAAAGGAUGAAAUGCUGGAAAUACACCAUUUUCAGCAAAGGCAAUGAUUACAGAGUCAUCUGCUCUAUGAUGUUUCCAUAGCCUUGUCACAGUGGUAGAUAGAUAGACAGACAGACAGAUAGAAAGAUAGAUAGAUAAGGUAAAUUCUCUGUCUUUACCAUAUUUUUCCCAAGGAUCUUGACAGACAUAGGCUUCUGGUUGCUUCCUUCUCCGUGGGACGCGAAAGAGUUGAUGCCAGCUAUUCACCCACCCACACUAGAACCUGGCAUCUCUCUCUGUAAAA
rnacentral:lncRNA from 1 species